rnacentral:rRNA from 1 species
CCGCACAAGCGGUGGAGCAUGUUGGUUUAAUUCGAAGCAACGCGAAGAACCUUUACCAGGUCUUGACAUCCCGAUGCUAUUUCUAGAGAUAGAAAGUUACUUCGGUACAUCGGUGACAGGUGGUGCAUGGUUGUCGUCAGCUCGUGUCGUGAGAUGUUGGGUUAAGUCCUGCAACGAGCGCAACCCCUAUUGUUAGUUGCCAUCAUUCAGUUGGGCACUCUAGCGAGACUGCCGGUAAUAAACCGGAGGAAGGUGGGGAUGACGUCAAAUCAUCAUGCCCCUUAUGACCUGGGCUACACACGUGCUACAAUGGUUGGUACAACGAGUUGCGAGUCGGUGACGGCGAGCUAAUCUCUUAAAGCCAAUCUCAGUUCGGAUUGUAGGCUGCAACUCGCCUACAUGAAGUCGGAAUCGCUAGUAAUCGCGGAUCAGCACGCCGCGGUGAAUACGUUCCCGGGCCUU